GUUUGUCUGUGUGCUAAUGUGAGGAUCUGAUAGCAGGAUAGACACCUAAGUGUGAAGGAAUCUUCCCUCCUCUUUUAUUGCUGCCCCCAACAGAGCUGCGCCAUCGACUUGACUGCCCAAUAAAAACAAGUAAAAGGCUGACAUUGCACUUCAUUUAACACCGCAUGCCCUUCACACUGCCUCCUACAUAGGCCAUUGUCAUCCACAGGGACGUGUCUUUGUUGAGAGGUUCAUGUUGUCCAUAAAGCAAAACUCCAGACAACAAUAGAUGGGCAGCUGUUUCCUAGGCAAGCAGUGUGUUUUGCAUCCUACAAGCAGGUGUUUUCUCAUGAUGUUACUUUGUAGUGUAGCUAAUGCAGCUUGAGUUUCCAGGUGACUAAUGACUAAUGUCACAUCCCGAAUUUUCUUUUUUCUUCACGUGUCAAACUAAAUUUAGUAGCGUGGCUCUAUUUUUAUUCUAUUUCUAGUUUUUUUUUUCAUGUUUUCGAAACUCUAAAACACGUAUAAUUCAACUGUCCUGUGCGACUUUUAUCGUAAACCCAAGCAGGUAUUAAGCUGCAUUUUAAUAACUGAAAGCGUACAACCAAACGUGCUGCUCACAUGGACAGCAAAAAUCUUUGAACCGUCUCUGCGUCGAGUGCAUAAAUGUCUGAGUUGAUUUAGCCUGGGUGGGGAGGAUGUGCACUCUUUAGAUGAUCGUUCACAAUGAGGUGUCAGGUAUGAGACAACUAUUCCCUGGAGCAACAGCCACAGAGGGCCACGUCUUCAUCCCUUUCAUACUUCAGUGACUCAUGAGUAUUUGCUCCUUUAGAGAGAAGAGAUUGGUAAAUGCAUGUUUGAGAAAGUUACUCUUUUCUGUUUUGCUCUGGGGGGUUUUUCACUUCCCUUGAACUCUGCCACUGGUUUCAGUAGCAGUCUGAGACAAACACGCUCUUCUUAUCCUUUCUGUUUCAGCUCCAGUGCCUUUCAGAUUUCAACUGACUUUUCUUUACCUUUCUGACUGCUCUUUUC
ensembl:lncRNA